AAGUUGCUUUUUUUCUCCAAAACAGGAAAAAAAAAUUACACUAACUAGAUCUGUUUUACUGACCCAAGUCAAUACUUGGAAGAUUAAAAGAAAACUGGUAUGCGGAUGCUAAGAGGCCAGAGGUUGGGGGGCUGUGGGCGGAGGCUGCCCAGGCUCCAAACUACCGCCGGCCCGGUGGGCAGCAGCGCCCGACCCACGGCGGGCAGUCCCGGGUCCGUCUGAUGGACACCGGUUUGACAUACGCCAAACCCCCGCCGUCUGGUUCGUCGCUCUGACCCUGCCAAUGCAGCAAACGGCCAGACCCUCUCCGCGCUGUAACGAGCAGAGCGGCCCGCUCGCGUCCAGCCUUAGCCGGGCACUGCGCGUCCAGGGCAGGGUUCAGACUAAAUGAAGGACGAAAAACAACAAAGCUGCAUGAGGAAACAAGAAGUGAUUGCCAGGCUCCUCUGAGGGCCCAGGGCUGCUUGGGACCUGCAGAAUUGCUGAACAGGGGAGUCGCUGUGGGCGAAGGGGUGCAGGUAAGCCCUCGGAAACAGGUGCCUGGGAUAGUCAAGAUGUGUUUUCCCAGUGGGGAGGGUGAAUCAAGGUUGACG